rnacentral:rRNA from 1 species
CCAGUGUGACUCGUCACACUAUCAUUAACUGAAUCCAUAGGUUAAUGAGGCGAACCGGGGGAACUGAAACAUCUAAGUACCCCGAGGAAAAGAAAUCAACCGAGAUUCCCCCAGUAGCGGCGAGCGAACGGGGAGGAGCCCAGAGCCUGAAUCAGCAUGUGUGUUAGUGGAAGCGUCUGGAAAGGCGCGCGAUACAGGGUGACAGCCCCGUACACAAAAGCGCAUGUGCUGUGAGCUCGAUGAGUAGGGCGGGACACGUGGUAUCCUGUCUGAAUAUGGGGGGACCAUCCUCCAAGGCUAAAUACUCCUGACUGACCGAUAGUGAACCAGUACCGUGAGGGAAAGGCGAAAAGAACCCCGGCGAGGGGAGUGAAAAAGAACCUGAAACCGUGUACGUACAAGCAGUGGGAGCCCCACCACCAAAGCAUUUGCUGUACCGCGUUGACGGAGCGAAGCGACGUCAAACCGAUAAAACAGCAGUGUAAAGUGAGCCGCAGGGCGCUUUGCGCGACAGCGCAAAGGCAGGCGGUUUCGCGUAGCGAAAGCGAAUGCUUUGGGGUGGGGUGACUGCGUACCUUUUGUAUAAUGGGUCAGCGACUUAUAUUCUGUAGCAAGGUUAACCGAAUAGGGGAGCCGGAGGGAAACCGAGUCUUAAUUGGGCGUUAAGUUGCAGGGUAUAGACCCGAAACCCGGUGAUCUAGCCAUGGGCAGGUUGAAGG